ACGCUUGAAGUCAGUCGCGUUGGCCGGGGAUCAGCCUCGCUCUUUUGCGUGGUGUACUUCCUAGUUGACGGGUCAGCAUCAAUUUCGAUCGCUGGAAAAAGGCUUGAGGAAUGUGGCAGCUUCGGCUGUGUUAUAGCUUCUUGUCACAUACAGCGGUUGGGAUUGAGGAACUCAGCACGCCGCAAGGCCGGGUUUCGACCACGUUUCGUGCUUAGGAUGCUGGCAUAAUGGCUUUAAGCGACCCGUCUUGAAACACGGACCAAGGAGUC
rnacentral:rRNA from 1 species